rnacentral:rRNA from 1 species
UACGUAGGGACCAAGCGUUGUUCGGAUUUACUGGGCGUAAAGGGCGCGUAGGCGGCGUGGUAAGUCACUUGUGAAAUCUCUGAGCUUAACUCAGAACGGCCAAGUGAUACUGCUGUGCUAGAGUGCAGAAGGGGCAAUCGGAAUUCUUGGUGUAGCGGUGAAAUGCGUAGAUACCAAGAGGAACACCUGAGGUGAAGACGGGUUGCUGGGCUGACACUGACGCUGAUGCGCGAAAGCUAGGGGAGCAAACGGG